GGCGGCGCGCUUAACACAUGCNNGUCGAGCGAGAACAGUCCUUCGGGACUGGGGAAAGCGGCGAACGGGUGAGUAACACGUGGGUAAUCAACCCUUGGCACCGGGAUAGCCCGAGGAAACUCGGAUUAAUACCGGAUGGCCCAACAGUCUCUCGGGGCGGUUGGAAAAGGUAGCUUCGGCCUCCGGUCAAGGACGAGCCCGCGGCGGAUUAGCUUGUUGGUGAGGUAACGGCUCACCAAGGCGACGAUCCGUAGCUGGUCUGAGAGGACGAUCAGCCACACUGGGACUGAGACACGGCCCAGACUCCUACGGGAGGCAGCAGUGGGGAAUCUUGCACAAUGGGCGAAAGCCUGAUGCAGCGACGCCGCGUGAGGGAAGAANGCUUUCGGGUUGUNAACCUCUUUC
rnacentral:rRNA from 1 species